UGUACCUUUAAUGUAGUCCGGAGAGGCUAAAAAGGGACAUAUUUUUGUUGCGCUCAUAAUAUGACCUUUGCCUUCGGCAAAGGUCUUUUUUAUG
rfam:Anaeroglobus geminatus F0357 genomic scaffold Scfld3, whole genome shotgun sequence.